rnacentral:lncRNA from 1 species
AGUGGUCUGGGGUCAGAGGUCAGGUUUCAGUUGGUGGUCAAAUGUCAUGCUCUGGAGGAAGGGUAUGAGGAGUCAGGGGUCAGAGGUCAGGCCAGCAAUUCCCCAGGUGUGUGGUUGGGCCAGACACCAGGCUCCCAAGAACCUCACCUGUGACCCUGGAUGUCCUCACAGGUUAAAGGGUCUCAGGGACCUAGAGACUGGCAACAUGGUGUGCGGUGGCCCGGUAGACCCUGGGGUGGGGGUCAGAGAUGGAGAUGGGCACAGAGACAUUCUGAGAGCCAGGACAGAAAGACCAAAAACGACAGAAAUAGAGACACAGAGAGAUAUCGGGAGGGGCAGAGACCUAGAAAGCCAGAAUAAGAGGGAGUCAGAGGAUCCACUGUGAAAGAGACACAGAAGCCACAGAGACACAGCAGAGAUGGAGAGACAGACAGGGAAGGAAAACAGAUUUCAGGGGAAGGAGGGGAUGCAGGGACAAGGACAGAAAAGAGCCCGGCUCUUCCUCCCAGGGUCCCUGGGGCAGCCCAGUGGGGCUAAGGGUCCCCGAGUGGGGCUGGGGGUCCCCGCCGGGCCCAGUCCCGUGCAGGGCGCAGCCUGGGGAAAGCUAGGAGGCCGUAUAGUGAUCUCCUUGGGUGUCCUCCUCAACUAUACAACCUCCUACCUCAGCCCGGGGGGCGCGGCAGGUGGACAGACCCGACAGACAGACAGACAGGGACCAGGAGGACCAGGGAUGGGGGGGAGGGCCGGGGAGGCCCCAGCCGCGAUGGUGAGCCCCCGACACGGACCCACAGACACGAGCUUGUGUGCGGCGAAGGCCCCGCAAGAUGGAGCUCACAGUCUGAUGGAAGAGACAGAGCCAGCCGCAGACAGUCCCAAUCCCGGGUGAUCUGGGUAUGACACAGGGAGAGGCCAGAGGCUGUGAGAGCCCAGGGCGGGAGGAAUCCUGGCAGCUGGAGACGGCAGAGAGGACCUCCAGAGAAGGCGUGGUUGUGGCAUGACCUCCACUAAGGCCCUUCCAGGCAGAGGGCACAGCUGAAGCGAAGGCCCAAGGCAGGAAACCAAGGAGGUGCUGGGAGGACAACAAAGCCCUUAAGUCUGACUAGAGCCUCCGAAGCCAGGAGCCAAGGAGCACAGGAGAUGAGGCUGGUGGGGCGAGCGGGCGGGGUCAGAUUCUUAGGGAGUUUCAGGCCAGGCUGGGAACUUAGCCUUCUGAGGGUGACAGGGAGCCCUGGAAGGUUGUGAGCAAGGGGCGGGGACACGGUUAUAGCUGAAUGUCAGACCCCGCUGAGGCUGUGUGGAGUGGAGGGGGAGAGACGGGUGGAGGCUGGGGAGGAGGCCCCCUCCCUGCAGUUUGCGGGCUAGGACCUGGGGAGAGAGGAAGGGGUGGGGCAGGAAUGUGAGGAGCUGGAGAUGGCUGGAGACUGCUGGGCACUGGGGGCAGAGAACAGGAACCUGUGGGCGGGAAACAGGUAGGAAAACUACAACUCCCUGAGUCUGGCCCAGGAACGGAUGGGGCAGGAGUUGCUUUCAAUGGGGAACUAGGAGGAAGAAGAGGGUAGAGGAGAGAGAUGCUGUGGGCAUCUGAGAACUUAGUGGACAUUAAGAGCCAGGGAAAACGUUCAGGGAAACGUUUUAGGGAAAACGUUCAGGAUGCAUGGUGCUGGGCUUUCAACAGUGCAUCUCCCUCCCUCCCUAUCCUCCAGCCACCCAGUUCUCCUCUCUGGGGACAGCAUAUAUUCACUAAUUUCUUACGUAUCUUUCCAGAGGAACUUUAUACAUCUAUGCACAUAUAUACCACCCUCCUCUUUUCUGUCCCCUGAUAGGAUCACAUUAUUCUGCACCUUGUUUUUUUUUUUUUUUUACAUGAUAUCCAAAGAUCCUCCCAUAUCUAGGCUUAUAGAACCUCCUCAUUCAUUUUAAUAGUGAUAUAAUAUUCCAUUGUAUUCAUCUAUUUAUUCCUAGUGUAUUCAGUUAAUUGGGAGAUUGGGAGGUUUUUUAUGUCAAGAAACUAAUGCUUAUGCAUAUUCAUAUUUACAGAUUUGUGUAUGUAUGUGUGUAUGUAUGUAUGUAUGUAUGUAUGUAUGUAUGUAUGUAUUUAUUUUUGAGACGGAUUGCCCAGGCUGGAGUGCAGUGGCAUUAUCUCAGAUCACUGCAACCUCUGCCUCCCAGGUUCAAGCCAUUCUCCCACCUCAGCCUCCCACGUGGUUGGAACUACAGGCCUGCGCCACCAGGCCCGGCUAAUUUUUGUAUAUUCUGUAGAGAUGGGGUUUUGCCACGUUUGCUGGACUGGUCUUGAACUUCUGACCUCAAGUGAUCCUCCCACCUUGGCUGAGCCACCACACCUGGCCCAAAUUUGCUGAUUUUUAAAGUGAUUUUGUCCAAUGCUUUUAAGCCUCUAAACCCAGAUAUUCAAUAAAUGCUUACUUCUAGAGCCUUUAAAAUUUGUUGAUAAUUACUAACAAUGGGAUAAUAAUAAUGACAACAGAUACCCUUUAUUGAAUGACUACUUGGAGCCAGUUCCUGGGAUGAGUAUUUGUUAUACAUUAUAUCAUUGAUUACACAGAAACCUUAUUAUUAGAAACUAUUAUUAUCCCAAUCGUAAGGAUGGAAUACUGAAUAGGAUGCAGCUCUGAAUAGCCAGUUGCCCAAGCUCACAAAGUAUGUGAUGGAGCUAGAGAUUCAAACCCAGGCCUCUCUGGCUCCUUCUUUGGGGUGGGCUGGCUCUGGGAAAAUAUGCUAUUUCUAAGGAUUGACACUGGGUACAUUUAAACUUGUCAUGCACACAAAUUCAUGUAUGAUUAAGAAGGACCCUUUGUCAGACCCCUCACUUUCACUUACGAUCUAGAGUUACUGUCAUUCUACAUUCACCCUGGAUGCCCUGUAGACAGAUCAGGACAGGCACCGCAUCACAGUCCUUGUCCUGGCCCUGAUCCUGUUGUGUUGUGAUUUUCUACGUCUGGGUCUGUCUUUGGGAAUUUACUGAGGGCACGGUCUGGGUCUGAGUCAUCUCUGUGUCCUCGAUAUCACUCCACCCAGGCAUGGCUCAGAGCAGGGGCUCAGGAAAAUGUUUGCUAAGUGAAUGAAUGAAGAGAUGAGUGAAUAAUAAAUGACUUGUGGAUUAGUCUGGGACUUGCUUAAGCCCCCAGGAACAGUGACCAUAAUUCCCAUUAGUUUCUGAAACAUAAGGCCUCUGUUCUCAUCAGUUAGCAAGUCACAGGGACCACUGGUUCCUUCAUUCUGUGAAAUACGGGGCUCCAAAUCUCUCAGCACAUAAGACUCAUCUACUGCAAUUCCUACAAAUAUCCAGAACUCAGGAUCCAUCAUUCCCUUCACUCCCUGAGACAGGGGGCCACCAUUCCCAUCAGACAUUGGAACACAAGUACAGGUUGAGCAUCCUUAAUGCAAAAAUCUCGAAUCUGAAAUGCUCCAAAAUCAAAAACUUUUUGAGCACCGACAUAACGUCAGAAGUGAAAAAUUUCAUUCCAUCACUUGAUCUCAUGUGAUAGACUGCAGUCAAAACUUUGUUUCAUGGGGCUGGGCACAGUGGCUUAUGCCUGUAAUCCAGCGGUUUGGGAGGCUAAGGCAGGAGGAUCACUUGAGCCCAGGAAUUUGAGACCAGCCUGGGCAACAUAGUGGGAUUCCCAUCUCUACAGUAAAAAAAUUUAAAACUUAGCAGGGCAUAGUGAUGCAUGCUUCUCCCAGCUACUAGGGAGGCUGAGGUGGGAGGAUUGCUUGAGCCCAGGAAGUUGAGGCUGCACUCCAGCCUGGUUGAUAGAGUGAGACCCUGUCUUAAAACAAACAAACAAAAAACCUUGUUUCAUGCACAAAAAUAUUGUAUAAAAUUAUCUUCAGGCUAUGUGUAGAAGGCAUAUAUAAAUGAAAUGAAAACAAAUGAAUUUUGUGUUUGGACUUGGGUCUCAUCCCCAAAUAUCUGAUUUUAUAUAUAUGAAAAUAGUCCAAAAUACAAAAUAAAAAAAUCAAACCUC